CGGGUGAGUAAUGCCUAGGAAUCUGCCUGGUAGUGGGGGACAACGUUUCGAAAGGAACGCUAAUACCGCAUACGUCCUACGGGAGAAAGCAGGGGACCUUCGGACCUUGCGCUAUCAGAUGAGCCUAGGUCGGAUUAGCUAGUUGGUGAGGUAAUGGCUCACCAAGGCGACGAUCCGUAACUGGUCUGAGAGGAUGAUCAGUCACACUGGAACUGAGACACGGUCCAG
rnacentral:rRNA from 1 species